rnacentral:rRNA from 1 species
GAUCCCUUUAGACCGCGCGAUGUUAUAGUCAUUCAACAUCGGUGUANUGGUUUUAANUCUAACACUGGCCGUCGUUUACAGCCUAACACAUGCAAGUCGAACGAGAAAGUGGAGCAAUCCAUGAUAAAGUGGCGAACGGGUGAGUAACACGUGACUACCUACCCUUGAGUGGGGGAUAACCCCGGGAAACCGGGGCUAAUACCGCAUAAUCUCGCAAGAAGCAAAUGUCGUCAAGUCAGCUUAAGGAAGAGGAGAGAUCGUCGGACUGAUUAANCUGGAUUGGUGAAGGUAAACGAUGACUCACCAAGGACGAAUAGAUCAUGUAGCCGGCCUGAGAGGGCGCACGGCCACACUGGAACUGAAACACGGUCCAGACUCCUACGGAGAGGCAAGCAGUAGGGGAAUUUUUAGCUGCAAUGGGGNGAAACCCUAGACGCAAGCAGCAGCCGCUGUGGAGAGAUAGAAAGUUCCUUAGUGAACGUAAACUCCUUUUCGACCGGNGACGAUAACUGACAGAGUAACCCAGAGGUAAAGAACAGCAAAGGCCCCCCCAGGGACAUUGGACCAUAUCAGAGUAAGCCCAAAGACCAAAGCCCCAGCCGANGAUAAAAUAACCCAAAGAGGGGAGGGGCCANAAGCCNGCAUCGAUCACCCGGGGAAACAUUUAAUAUAGNGGGCAGUUAAACAAGGGGGGCCAGCCGCUACAGGGCCAGAGAGGCCAAGGAAAAAGGUCCAACCCGUUAUGUAGAAAGAAGCAUUUCCCCCCGAGACGAUCCAACUAGGGAGGAAANGCCCNAGGGCAAGAGACGAAANAAGCAUAGGGCCAGAUAGCCAUAGNAAGUAAGGUACGCANAGAACCGGCAUGUCCNAUAGGCAACUAUCCCCAGAGAGUAGUUAGAGCAAGGCUNNANACACUACAGUAUCAAACAUUUCGGGAGGAGAAGCCCCNAUGUGAGCAA